rnacentral:rRNA from 1 species
UAGGGAAUCUUCGGCAAUGGACGAAAGUCUGACCGAGCAACGCCGCGUGAGUGAAGAAGGUUUUCGGAUCGUAAAACUCUGUUGUUAGAGAAGAACAAGGACGUUAGUAACUGAACGUCCCCUGACGGUAUCUAACCAGAAAGCCACGGCUAACUACGUUCCAGCAGCCGCGGUAAUACGUAGGUGGCAAGCGUUGUCCGGAUUUAUUGGUCGUAAAGCGAGCGCAGGCGGUUUCUUAAGUCUGAUGUGAAAGCCCCCGGCUCAACCGGGGAGGGUCAUUGGAAACUGGGAGACUUGAGUGCAGAAGAGGAGAGUGGAAUUCCAUGUGUAGCGGUGAAAUGCGUAGAUAUAUGGAGGAACACCAGUGGCGAAGGCGGCUCUCUGGUCUGUAACUGACGCUGAGGCUCGAAAGCGUGGGGAGCAAACAGG